AACGAACGCUGGCGGCAUGCCUAACACAUGCAAGUCGAACGAGACCUUCGGGUCUAGUGGCGCACGGGUGCGUAACGCGUGGGAAUCUACCCUUGGGUUCGGAAUAACAGUUAGAAAUGACUGCUAAUACCGGAUGAUGACGUAAGUCCAAAGAUUUAUCGCCCAAGGAUGAGCCCGCGUAAGAUUAGCUUGUUGGUGGGGUAAUGGGCUACCAAGGCGACGAUCUUUAGCUGGUCUGAGAGGAUGAUCAGGCACACUGGGACAGAGACCCGGCCCAGACUCCUACGGGAGGAAGCAGUGGGGAAUAUUGGACAAUGGGCGAAAGCCUGAUCCAGCAAUGCCGCGUGAGUGAUGAAGGCCUUAGGGUUGUAAAGCUCUUUUACCAGGGAUGAUAAUGACAGUACCUGGAGAAUAAGCUCCGGCUAACUCCGUGCCAGCCGCCGCAGUAA
rnacentral:rRNA from 1 species